CCUACGGGCGGCAGCAGUGGGGAAUAUUGGACAAUGGGGGGAACCCUGAUCCAGCCAUGCCGCGUGUGUGAAGAAGGCCCUCGGGUUGUAAAGCACUUUCAGUGAGGAAGAACGCCUGGUGGUUAAUACCCAUCAGGAAAGACAUCACUCACAGAAGAAGCACCGGCUAACUCCGUGCCAGCAGCCGCGGUAAUACGGAGGGUGCGAGCGUUAAUCGGAAUUACUGGGCGUAAAGCGCGCGUAGGUGGCUUGAUAAGCCGGUUGUGAAAGCCCCGGGCUCAACCUGGGAACGGCAUCUGGAACUGUCAAGCUAGAGUGCAGGAGAGGAAGGUAGAAUUCCCGGUGUAGCGGUGAAAUGCGUAGAGAUCGGGAGGAAUACCAGUGGCGAAGGCGGCCUUCUGGACUGACACUGACACUGAGGUGCGAAAGCGUGGGUAGCAAACAGGAUUAGAUACCCCAGUAGUC
rnacentral:rRNA from 1 species